GUAAGUAUAGUUUAACCAAAAUAUUAGAUUGUGAUUCUAGAAACAGGAGUUAAAACCCCCUUACUCACC
rnacentral:tRNA from 1 species